rfam:Trachymyrmex zeteki contig13465, whole genome shotgun sequence.
UCUGUUACCUGGCGUCGAGGCUACCGUGAUCAGUUCCUCCAGGGUGAGGCUCUUCCAUUGCACUUCGGUUGGAGCUGACCCUUGCGAAUAUCCCUAAUGUGGAUAUCUCGGGCGUACAAUUUUUGUUAGUGAAUUACAUAUUCAAAAAAUAUGUAUAUU